GACGGGCCAUGUGACGCUCCAGUCGCUCCGCGCUGGGCAGCAGGCGCGUCCUUCGCCCUCCGCUGCUGCUGCUGGAGGAGGAGGAGGAGGAGGGGGCGGCCUCUCUCUCGCUCUCGGCGCGCCUCCCUGCAGUCUGGGCGAAAGGCCGACGGGAGCCGGCGGAGCGAGGCGCUAUGGUCCCCCUGGCAGGCGGGUGAGGUGGUGGGGGAGAGGGAGGGAGGGAGGAGGGCUCAGGCGCUGCCCUCGGCCCGUCCCCUGCCGUCCCCAUCCCGCCCGGGAGAGAGACUUCGCUGACCGUCAAGCCAGAGAUCAUUUAUUCAGAGCAAGAUGAAUUGGUACAAUAUUUUGACUGGAUUUCUACAAUUGAAUUUCUUUCAAAUGGCUAUUUCCCACUGCAUGGUGUAUCAGAUUCCCCCACAGAGCUUUCAAUUACCUUGCGUGCAGCCACAGAAGAUUUCUAACUUUUCUUUGUCCCCUGAGAUUGUGGAGAAUAGUCCUAGUUCAAACAAAGAGCAUGGUACAAGUAAAAUCAAUGCAACAGCUCUGGCAGCUGAAGAUAAAUUUCUUUGUUGCCACUGGAGUGAAAUAUAUAUUAAUUGUUUUAUAUAUACGGCAGAAAUGGAAGCCAGAACACUUACUUAUUCAGAACCUGGUGCUUUAUCAUCUCAUCAAAUAGACUCAUUGUGGAAUCUACAGUUUUGGACUCAAGAAAGCACACAGGAAUUACUGUGUAUUGUGGAAUUGUCUGCCAAGUCACCGUACUGGAAUGAAGACCUUACAGUUAAUCUGCAUUAUGCAUUAACAGAUGUAUCAUUGGAAGCGACUUCUACACAUUCACUAAAGGACAAUUUUACAGUUACUCACUGCAAUUCUAUAAGAGACCAAAAAUAUGCAUGCCAGAUAUCUUCAGUAAAACUCAACCAUACUUACAUUAUGUGGCUCAAGAUCACAAAUGGAAUAGCAUUGCUACAGUCGCCAUUAAUGUCCGUCAAGCCUAUAGAUAUUGGUAAGAUUCAUUUCAUUGGUUAUACCUCACAAUCGUUAUAAUAUAUAUACAGUAUAAAGAGUUUGAAAAAUUCAUAUUAAAAGUUCAUAUGAUUUUGAAAUACAUAUCAAAAUGUAACUACCAUUUGGGGUAAUAAUUAAAAAUCAUAAAAUGUUUGUAAUUAUA
rnacentral:lncRNA from 11 species